UCUCUGGUCGUAUAUCGGUUAGUACACGCGCUUGUCAUCCAGUACGGAUCGCGCGAAAGCGGGGUUCGACUCCCCGCCAGAGAG
rnacentral:tRNA from 1 species